rnacentral:rRNA from 1 species
AUGCAAGUCGAGGGGUAACAGGGAGCUUGCUUCGCUGACGACCGGCGCACGGGUGCGUAACGCGUAUAGAACCUACCUUUUACAGGGGAAUAGCCUUUAGAAAUGAAGAUUAAUGCCCCAUAGUAUUGUAGACUGGCAUCAGUUUAUAAUUAAAGAUUUAUACGGUAAAAGAUGGCUAUGCGUCCUAUUAGUUAGUUGGUAAGGUAACGGCUUACCAAGACAUCGAUAGGUAGGGUCCUGAGAGGACGGUCCCCCACACUGGUACUGAGACACGGACCAGACUCC